rnacentral:tRNA from 1 species
GUCCCUGUAGCGCAAUGGAUAGCGCGUUGGACUUCUAAUCCAAAGGUCGUGGGUUCGAGUUCCACCUGAAAUU